rnacentral:lncRNA from 1 species
AUGUAAAAAAUGCGUUCAAUAUUUGUACCUUUAAAUGAUUUUGUUAAAAAACUAGACUUAAAUCCAAUAAUACUAAUUAUAUACUAUAAAUAUUAAUAAUUUUUUAUUAUAUAUUCAAUUAAAGUUAUUUCUCAGGAACCGCAAACAAUAUUUAUUUUAGUAUGUCCGGGAGUAUAUAGUAUUAUUGCAUCAGAUAUAUUCUGAUUCGACUAGGUCGAGCUCUCUUCAUCCUAAAAUAUAAAAUAUCCUAAAAUUCUACUAUGACAUAUUAUGAGAUACUAGCACCUUAAAAUAUACGAUCACGGAGGGACUAUAAAACAAAUGAUACAUGUCUCACUUCACCAUGAACCUCUUAUGAUUUUCACAAUUUCUGAAUGAUUUGACAUCUUACAUUUUAGGAUACAUGGAGCAAACAGCUGCACGUCUUAAAUGUCAUGAAAAGAAAAUUGAUCGAAAGGGAGUAAAAGUUAAGUUUUAGAAAUGCACCGUUUAGAAAAAAAAAAUAAUAAUAAAAUGGCACAGAUUUUAUGAUGGAACCGAGCCAAAGGUCAUUUGAUUCUAUAGGAAAAGCUCACACACCACCACCAGCAAGUGCAGGAUGCUGCUAGCAGCGGUAGGCCGGUACCAAACGCAGACCACAUGCAAAAGUUUGACCAAAGUCUCCAGACACACACACCGUUUGGCCCAGUCGGCUCGGCUGCCAGAGCCGAUCCCGUGGCUCGAGCCACCUGCCGCAUCGAAAACCUUGGCACUGUCAUUUGAAUUUGAACUCUGACGUUUAUCGCCCCGGGCUAUUUGGCAAACCCGCGGGCGAACCGCAAAAUUCACCUGGGAAACGAGCGCGCGG